CUGUCCGGAGCCUUAGGAUUUGAGCUUGGGCCUUUUGAACCCAGGAUCUCGAAAUGCAUCCUAAUUCCUGUCCCUUGGACUGUAAGGUUUGUGUAGGUAAUCUUGGAAACAAGACUGAAUUGGAAAGGGCUUUUGGCUAUUAUGGACCACUCUGAAGUGUGUGGGUUGCUCAAAACCCUCCUAGCUUUGCUUUUGUUGAAUUUGAGGAUCCACGAGAUGCUGCUGAUGCUGUCCGAGAGCUAGAAGGAAGAACACUAUGUGGCUGCCUUGUAAGAGUGGAACUGUCAAAUGGAGAAAAGAGAAGUUGGAAUCAUGGCCCACCUCCCUCUUGAGGUCCUCCACCUCGGCUCAGACCCCCAAGAAAGAGAAGCUUUUCCUGAAGCCAGAGCAGGUCGCUUUCUAGAGAUAGGAGAAGCGAAAGGUCUCUGUCUGAUGAGAGAAAUCACAAGCCAUCUGGAUCCUUCUCUAGGUCUCGUACCCGAUCUAGGUCAAAUGAAAGGAAACAGAAGACCAGUUUGCAAAAGUGGCGUACAGGAAAUAACUUCAUCUGACAGGAGCAUGUACAGGAAAUUAAAGUUUUG